CGCAUCUUGGGACCCAUCCACUGAGUGCCACUGAGAACUAUACAAGAUCUUGCUAUAUUGCUAGGACUGGUCUCAAACUUCUGGGCUCAAGCAAUCCUCCUGCCUCGGCCUCCCAGAGUACUGAGAUUACAGACAUGAGCCACCAUGCCCUGCCUGAACAAAAAUUUGAAUGUGAAUUUUCAUAGCAACAUUAUUCAUGAUAGCCAAAAGGUGGAAAAAAUCCAAACGCUCAUGAACGGAUGAAUAGGGCUGCAGCAACAAAGUACCAUAAACUGGGAGACUUAAAACAAUAGAAAUUCUUCUCUCACUGUUUGGAAGCCGGAAGUCUGAAAUCAAGGCAUCAGCAGGGUUGGUUCUUCUGGAGGCUCCGAGGGAGAGGCGCUCCAUUCUUCCCUUCCAGCUUCUGGGGCUGCCAGCAACCCUUGGUGUGCCCCAGGUUUGCUCCCUGGUCUUUGAUCACUGCUUCCAUCCUUGCCUGGCCUUCUUCCUGCAUGUCUUCAUAGGGUGUUCUCAUCUCUGUGUGUCUCCGUCCAAGUUCCCCUCAUCUUACAAAGACACUAGCCAUUGGAUUAGAGCCCACCCUAAUUCAGCAAGACCUCAUCUUAACUGGAUUACAUCUCAAAGACCUGAUUUCCAAGUAAGAUCUGAUUCACAAGUACGGGGAUCAGGACUACAACAUCAUGUAUCUUUUUGGGAGGACACAAUUCAACCCACAACAAUCAGGUACAAUCAAAAACAAUAAAGAUACUUCCGGUGAUUAAAUGGUAAAAAAAAAAUUAGAAAAUAAAGAGAAAAGAGAACGUAAGCAAAGCCAAUUCAAAGGAAGAAAUAAAAAUGGAGAGGAGAUGAAAUGGGGAGAUGUCGGUCACAGCGUGCAAACUGAGUUACAAAAGGAACCAGCUCUGGAUCUCAGGUGCAGCAAGGGCAGUGAGGGGUGUGUUCAUUAAUUUGAUUCUGGUAAUCAUGACACAAUGUAUACCAAUCAUCAUGUUGUACACCUUGAAUAUAUGCAACCUUCAUUUGACAAUUAAAUAUUUUAAAAUUAAAAAAUUAAAAAAACAAGGCACAUUCUGGACACUAAAAUCCUGCUCCAGUGGGUACCAUUCUUCCUGAAUCCAGCUCCUUGAUUAUCCAGGAAUGCCAUGAUUACAAGGUAAAUUUUCCUGCAAAUUUUUUUUUGUUAAACUGAUAUGUGCCGUUUAAAGUUUCUCAAACUAGUCCUUCCUUGCUCGAAAGUCUCUUGUACUUAAAACACUGGGAGGAGAGAGGCUAUGGGUAAUGAGAAAGGGGAGGGGAAAAUAUAUUAAAGGUGAGACAGUUCUUUCUACAUUAGAUGGACUAUCAGGUGACGCCAUCCCAUAGGCAGGUGGGAAAGACGGGAGUAGAGCCUAGAAGAGGCCACAGGACCAACACCGGGAGCUGCCCGCAGAGAAUUGAGGACUGAAGUGGCCAUAAACGCCAAGCUCUGCAAGGGAGUGACCACAGAGAGAAAAGAGCAGAGGGUGGACCAUGAAAUCCUCAGGAGAACCUUGGAAAGGGGAACAGGGAAGAACUGAUGUGAAGAUGCCAGAUGGGGGGUGGGGACCUGAGCUAGGCAGGUCUCCAAAGUGAGUGGAGGCAGCAGUGUCAGGGGAAGGGAAGUCCACACCACAUCCUACACACGCGAUGUCAACAAAGUCAGAGAAGAGGUGAGGAGCCAAAGACCCUACAAUGUCACUGGGUUCAGCUGGGAAGUUGGUGUUGAUUAGAAGAGAGUACUUUGGCGGACUGAGGGAAUUAGCGUUGACAAGUAGAAAGAACUCCUAUAAUUUGAUAAAGACUCUGCUUGACCAAACUUUAGUCAGGCUCCUGAAACUUGUCCUGGGCUCAUCUGUGCGGUUACUUGUAAAUCUAGUUUUAGCAAAGAACCCGGCCAAGUCCGUUCAGCCAGUGCCGCCAGCCUCUACGCUCUGAUCACCUGGAUAUCUGAUCAGAUUCCUCACUCUCCACCAUCUCCCAGGUAAUGUUGGGUCACCCUGGACUGUCUUCAGCCAGAGUCCCGUUAGGUGUGUUUAGCCUGAAUACUCCUUACCUGUAAUGUUUCCUUUUAGUAAUUUUCCACCCACUGACUGCCACCCUGCUCCUUGGUUAUAAACUCCCACUUGCCCAGGCAGUAUUCAGAGUUGAGCCCAAUCUCUGUCUCUCACCCACUCCAAGACCCCGUUGAGCGGUCCCUAUGCCCAUCCACAUGGUCCUGAAUAAAGUCUUCCUUACUGUGCUUUAGCAAGUGUCGUUGAAUUAUUUUUUCCUUAACAAAUUCAAUAUGAAAAAGAAGACUCAAUAGAAAGAUGGGCAAAGUAUA
rnacentral:lncRNA from 10 species